rfam:Papilio xuthus contig8234, whole genome shotgun sequence.
GCGUCGGUGGCUCAGAGGUUUAAGCACUUGACUUGCAAUCUGCAGGUCGUGGGUUCGAGUCCCGCCUGUACCA